rnacentral:lncRNA from 1 species
UCAUCAGCCCUUUCUUAAUGCGCUUGUGUGUUCACUGGGAACAAAAAAGGCUGUUGUGGCGUAGGUAACAUUUUUAUUUGCUCUCAAACCAUGGGAGGUAAUCACCCUCAAAGUAAGGAAGUCCAGAGUUGUGAGUUCUCCACAGAAUAAAAUGCCUAGUGUUAAGAUCCAAGAGUCUGGGUUGUCCUAAGGAGAAUCAUCAUAUGUUCAUUGUCUUGGUUCUAUUAUCAGCUUUUGAACAAAUCAGUUAAAAUCUUUAUGCCUAUUUAAUUUACAUAGGCAGG